rnacentral:rRNA from 1 species
UACGUAGGGAGCAAGCGUUGUUCGGAAUUAUUGGGCGUAAAGAGCGCGUAGGCGGUUCGGUAAGUCUGACGUGAAAUCCCGGAGCUCAACUCCGGAACUGCGUUGGAUACUGCCGGGCUUGAGUGUGGGAGAGGAGAGUGGAAUUCCCAGUGUAGAGGUGAAAUUCGUAGAUAUUGGGAGGAACACCCGUGGCGAAGGCGGCUCUCUGGACCACAACUGACGCUGAGGCGCGAAAGCUA